UUGCUUCAAUCGUUUGCUCUUCAAAUGGCUCUGCUAGCCUCCACCUCCACCACCACAUCCAGUCUCCCUCUCUACUUUAUCUCCUUCUACGCUUUUUCUAAUUCCUCCAAUUCUUCCUCCUUCCCAUUCCCUUCUCGUCCUCUGUUUCGACCUCUUUCUUGUCAUUCCAGCGUCGGUUGUCCCGGCCGGUGUCACGCCGCCAGCCUCGGCCCUCCUCCUCCCCCCCGAACCGACCCACCUCCCGGAAAUGAUCCUCGUCAGCUUCAAGAAGCAGGCAUGGCUACAUCUUGGUCCAAAAUUAAAGAUAGAGUACAGAUCUUCUUUGCUGUUCUUUUCUGGAUGUCUUUAUUCUUUUGGUCGUCAGCAUGGGAUGGGAGGAAUGGACCAAAGAAAGGAUCAAGACGUAGAAGAUAACAUGCCGAGCAUUUCACUUGUAUAUACAUAGCAAACUAUAGCUUAGGGGAUAGAAUCAGAAUAUACAGUGAUGGAAAAGAGCAUUUAAAUGGGUGGAGAAAAGAAUGUUCCUGAUCCUGAGGCUCCAUUAUUUCUUUGCUUGAAAGCUUUUUCAUGCUUUAGCUGAUCCAGUUUCUUUCUGAAUUGGCCAGUUGUGUAACAGACAGGGCGAUUCUUUAACUAGCGUUCAAAUGAAUUUGAGCUUCCAGAAUCAGGGCUGUAUUUUAGGGUCACCCACGUUGAGAGAUCUUGGGAAUCAUCGGUUAAUCUCUAAUGUCCUUGCUUUUUGGAACGCCCCGGCAACAACCAUUUCUGCAUCUUCACCUAUGAAACGACGUUGCUUGUUUGCUUUCUGAAAUUUCUUCCAUCCCCAUUGCACCAUUGACUUCAGCUACACGUAUCGAGAGA